rnacentral:rRNA from 1 species
CAGUCGCCGCGGGAAUACGAAGGGUGCAAGCGUUAAUCGGAAUUACUGGGCGUAAAGCGCACGUAGGUGGUGGUUUAAGUCCGUUGUGAAAGCCCUGGGCUCAACCUGGGAAUUGCAGUGGAUACUGGGUCACUAGAGUGUGGUAGAGGAUAGUGGAAUUUCCGGUGUAGCAGUGAAAUGCGUAGAGAUCGGAAGGAACAUCUGUGGCGAAGGCGACUAUCUGGGCCAACACUGACACUGAGGCACGAAAGCGUGGGGAGCAAACAGGAUUAGAUACCCCCGUAGUCCCUGUCUCUUAUAC